AGCUUGCUCUCUUGGCGGCGAGUGGCGGACGGGUGAGUAAUAUAUCGGAACGUGCCCAGUAGCGGGGGAUAACUACUCGAAAGAGUGGCUAAUACCGCAUACGCCCUACGGGGGAAAGGGGGGGAUCGCAAGACCUCUCACUAUUGGAGCGGCCGAUAUCGGAUUAGCUAGUUGGUGGGGUAAAGGCUCACCAAGGCAACGAUCCGUAGCUGGUUUGAGAGGACGACCAGCCACACUGGGACUGAGACACGGCCCAGACUCCUACGGGAGGCAGCAGUGGGGAAUUUUGGACAAUGGGGGAAACCCUGAUCCAGCCAUCCCGCGUGUAUGAUGAAGGCCUUCGGGUUGUAAAGUACUUUUGGCAGAGAAGAAAAGGUAUCUCCUAAUACGAGAUACUGCUGACGGUAUCUGCAGAAUAAGCACCGGCUAACUACGUGCCAGCAGCCGCGGUAAUACGUAGGGUGCAAGCGUUAAUCGGAAUUACUGGGCGUAAAGCGUGUGUAGGCGGUUCGGAAAGAAAGAUGUGAAAUCCCAGGGCUCAACCUUGGAACUGCAUUUUUAACUGCCGAGCUAGAGUAUGUCAGAGGGGGGUAGAAUUCCACGUGUAGCAGUGAAAUGCG
rnacentral:rRNA from 2 species